rnacentral:rRNA from 1 species
GAUGAACGCUGGCGGCGUGCCUAAUACAUGCAAGUCGAGCGAACAGACGAGGAGCUUGCUCCUCUGACGUUAGCGGCGGACGGGUGAGUAACACGUGGGUAACCUACCUAUAAGACUGGGAUAACUCCGGGAAACCGGGGCUAAUACCGGAUAACACAUGAAACCGCAUGGUUUCAUGAUGAAAGACGGUUUUGCUGUCACUUAUAGAUGGACCCGCGGCGUAUUAGCUAGUUGGUAAGGUAACGGCUUACCAAGGCAACGAUACGUAGCCGACCUGAGAGGGUGAUCGGCCACACUGGAACUGAGACACGGUCCAGACUCCUACGGGAGGCAGCAGUAGGGAAUCUUCCGCAAUGGGCGAAAGCCUGACGGAGCAACGCCGCGUGAGUGAUGAAGGUCUUCGGAUCGUAAAACUCUGUUAUUAGGGAAGAACAAGGAUGUAAGUAACUAUGCAUCCCUUGACGGUACCUAAUCAGAAAGCCACGGCUAACUACGUGCCAGCAGCCGCGGUAAUACGUAGGUGGCAAGCGUUAUCCGGAAUUAUUGGGCGUAAAGCGCGCGUAGGCGGUUUUUUAAGUCUGAUGUGAAAGCCCACGGCUCAACCGUGGAGGGUCAUUGGAAACUGGAAAACUUGAGUGCAGAAGAGGAAAGUGGAAUUCCAUGUGUAGCGGUGAAAUGCGCAGAGAUAUGGAGGAACACCAGUGGCGAAGGCGACUUUCUGGUCUGCAACUGACGCUGAUGUGCGAAAGCGUGGGGAUCAAACAGGAUUAGAUACCCUGGUAGUCCACGCCGUAAACGAUGAGUGCUAAGUGUUAGGGGGUUUCCGCCCCUUAGUGCUGCAGCUAACGCAUUAAGCACUCCGCCUGGGGAGUACGGCCGCAAG